rnacentral:ribozyme from 1 species
AAAACGAAGAAGAAGUGAACGAGAAGAGAAAGCAGAAACGAGAAACCGAGGAACCUCUUCUAUAUCUUUCCGCUCUUUUUUCUUUUUUUUUUUCGAAAACAUUUUGUUUCUUCUUUGAGUUUUAGAAGAAGAAGAGAGAGAAGAAGAAGAGAGAGAGAAGAGAAGAGAGAAGUG